GCCCUGGUGGCACAGUGGUUAAAUGCCUGUACUGAAGAUCACAAGGUCGUGAGUUCAAUACCAGCCAGGGCU